UACGUAGGUGGCAAGCGUUAUCCGGAAUUAUUGGGCGUAAAGAGCGCGCAGGUGGUUGAUUAAGUCUGAUGUGAAAGCCCACGGCUUAACCGUGGAGGGUCAUUGGAAACUGGUCGACUUGAGUGCAGAAGAGGGAAGUGGAAUUCCAUGUGUAGCGGUGAAAUGCGUAGAGAUAUGGAGGAACACCAGUGGCGAAGGCGGGUGACUGGACUGUAACUGACGCUGAGGCGCGAAAGUGUGGGGAGCAAACAGGAUUAGAUACCCCCGUA
rnacentral:rRNA from 1 species